CUCCAUUACCUCACUGCCUCCGGUGGCUGCCGGGAUACCGGAAGACUCGGGUCCCGGCUCGGUUCAGUCCUCCAGCUGCCCGGGGAAUACCUCCAGCAGUUCUUCCCUGCCGCCGCCGCCCCGCCGCUUCCUCCUCCGCCCGCCCCCCGCCGGCCUCCUUCGCCCCGCCCCGUCCGCGCCGAGCGUCCGGCCCGCCCGCGGCCCGCUUCUCUCGGGAGCCCCCACCCAGGCGCAUGGCUCCAUGAAGCAGGAGGAGGAGGCAGAGCGCGAGAGGUCCCGUCUGCCCCGGCUGCGUCUGGGCCAGGAGAAAAGGUACAGGAAGAAGGAAUGGAAUCGGAAGGAAGAAAAUUCAUUUCAGAGACAAAAUAGCUCCCCUCCUCUGUUAUAGCUGUUCCCCUGGCAAUACAAACUUUCUGCUUUCAUCUAAACAAGACAAGGACAUCCACGCUCAGAAACAAUCUAGUCAUUGGUGGUUUUAUUGUGUAUGUGCAUACGGCUUUCUCAAAAAAAGAAGCCCCGUUUCAAGCCAGACAUUGAAGUGUUCAAGCUGUUGUUCGUCUGCUAGAGACAACUUUCACCCCCUCAGAAUCUCCUGAGUACAAAACCGUGUGCUUCGUGAUGGACCAGCACGUAUCAGGAGCACAAGCACAAAAACUUGUGAAGUUUUUAUAUCUCAUUCAGCCUCAAGUGACAGGUUGUUUUUGUAGAAAUAAUGGCAUUGCAAAUGGGGUUCUGCAGCAUCCCAGACCUCAAGCACGGAAUCAGGAUGGGAAAGAGACGCUGUGUUCCUCCCCUCGAGCCCAAGCUGGCAGCGGGCUGUUGUGGGGUCAAGAAGCCUAAGUUGUCUGGAAGUGGAGCGCACAGCCACGGGAACCAGUCCGCCACUGUCCCCGGCUCGAGUUCAGGACCUCUUCAAAACCACCAGCAUGUGGACAGCAGCAGUGGGCGGGAGAAUGUGUCGGACUUAACUCUGGGACCCGGAAACUCUCCCAUUACACGAAUGAAUCCCGCAUCGGGAGCGCUGAGCCCUCUCCCCCGGCCCAACGGAACUGCCAACACCGCCAAGAACCUGGUGGUGACCGCAGAGAUGUGCUGCUACUGCUUUGACGUCCUCUACUGUCACCUCUAUGGCUUCCCACAGCCACGGCUCCCUAGAUUCACCAACGACCCCUACCCGCUCUUUGUGACGUGGAAGACAGGGCGGGACAAGCGGCUUCGUGGCUGCAUCGGGACCUUCUCAGCCAUGAACCUUCAUUCAGGACUCAGGGAAUACACGCUAACCAGUGCACUUAAGGACAGCCGAUUUCCCCCCCUGACCCGAGAGGAGCUGCCUAAACUUUUCUGCUCUGUCUCCCUCCUUACUAACUUUGAGGAUGCCAGUGAUUACCUGGACUGGGAGGUAGGGGUUCAUGGGAUUCGAAUUGAAUUCAUCAAUGAGAAAGGCGUCAAACGUACAGCCACGUAUUUACCUGAGGUUGCAAAGGAACAGGACUGGGAUCAGAUUCAGACGAUAGACUCCUUGCUCAGGAAAGGUGGCUUUAAGGCUCCCAUCACCAGUGAAUUCAGAAAAACCAUCAAACUCACCAGGAAUAAUCACCUUGCAGUGGAGGAGAGAUUACAGUGGGAAAGAGAUGGCUCUGGGUAAGGAUUGUCACGCCCAGCUCCUGUGGUCUGUAGCAGGCUCCAUAGGUCUGUGACGCCCCAUGCUUCGCAUCCUGACUCAUGGCUCUCUCCAGAGCAAAGCCGAAGUGCUAUGAUUCUGUCCUGAUGACCCUGUGAUAUGAUACGGCACAUUCAUCGGGGAAGCGACCCCAUCCUGUGUAGCCCCAGGAUUUUUUAACCUGCUUCACCAGAAUUUGACCCAGAAUUAGGUACCGGAGCGAGAAGGUGACAAUCAGUUACGCAGAGUAUAUUGCUUCCCGCCAGCACUGUUUCCAGAACGGCACUCUUCAUGCCCCUCCCCUCUACAAUCAUUACUCCUGACACACGGCUGCAUGACCAGUCCCACCCCCCCGUGGCCACCAAUGGCUAUGACAUCAUUGGAGCAGAUGCCUCCUCUUCCUGGUCCAGUUACUUCUAUUACUGCACCAUUUUAUGAUGCUAGCUUCCGUUGCCAAGUCUGCCUCCAGCCGACUGAGGAGGGGGGCGGGGUUAUAUUGAAUGAAACAGAACUUGAGGGGCCCAAGCCUUAUCUCAGCCUUUCCUCAAUAUGGGUUCCGUUGGAUUGGGGCUCCUCCAUGACUAGUGAGAAUGCCGUGUGGGUUCAGAAGACCCUUGGGGUGCAGGUGCCGCUGGUGAUCUGCUGCCGGUGUGUUGGCCACAACAGUGGAAGCUGGAAUUGACGGUCCGAGAAGGCUCACCCCACACACAGCCCUGCGGCCUCCCCAGAUCAAGUAGGUGUAUUCCCCUGGCAGUCUGGGCAACGGAGACCAACAAGAAACAUUUUUAGGUUGUUUUAAAUUCCUUUUUUUAAACUUCCAGUUUAUUGCGUACCAAGAGUUGAUCACAACCUCCACGCUUCAUAAGUGGACGCCAUGUUAGGGUUGACCGUGGGCGCCAUGAGUCCUCUGGGCGCCUGGACAGAGACCCACAUCAAGAUCGGAGGCCCUGGGGAUGGCGUUGCAGAUCUCAUCGCUCAGUUAGCCUCGAAGGUUUUAAUUCUCAUCCCACUGUCAGUUGGAUUUUCUGGCACUCUCCCUGCAUUGAGUCUCCUGGCACUGAACACAGCUCCGUGGCGUAGCCUGCUGAGGAACGGACUGGGAUGCCCACGGGAGGGCCCAACGGCAUCGCAGCACGCAGGGUCAAAGGAGAGGCCUCUUCCUUACCACCCGGCUACCUCACUCCUCCACUGGUAGCAGUGCCUACAGCUGGAUCUAGGUUCUCAGAAGGCAGAGAUGUUCAAACAAGCACUCGGGUUGGGUUCUAGAAGGACACGUCGUCAUAGGAGAGAAUCCAGGGUCUCCAAGCUGUUGUUCUUUUCAGGCAAACGUCCUGAGGGACCUUUAAUAAGAGAAGUUCCUUUCUGUCGUUUGCCUGUAGACGUGGGAAGACUGUUGCUGUUUCAGUCCUGUACAGGACUUUAGAACAAAGCUGUGUAAUUAAUUAAACAAGGUGAAUCUUUAUCUUGCCUAACAUGCUGGGAAUCUUCACCCCACCAUGGCAAAGUUCCAAAUAGCUCAUCUUAUUCUAGGUCAUUCAUACUUUCACAUGGCAUAUCCCCCUUUCCCGUUGUUGCUGAUUCCGAGUAGCUGUUGGCAAGUUUCUCCUCCCUCCUGCCUGUUCUUCACUCAUACGGUAGCAGAGUUCAUAGAAGUUGGGGACUUGGAAGAUGCUUUGAAAGCAUUGUCACAGAGGCACUGCUGAAAUGAGUCACAGGAAAAGGUGGCCAGUUGGAGGCAAGGACCCUGAGGGUGGUGACACUGGUUUUCAACAACAUGCUUAGAGAACUCUUGGAGUGGAUUGGGGUCAACCCGGUGAACAACAGUAUUUUGAUUUAAUUUAUUUUUAAAGUUUAUGUGGUGGUGUGGCUUUCUGAAAUGGGCAGAUAUUUACGUGAAAAGAUCUUUUGUGUUUCUUCUGCCAGGAGUGGGGGAGGGGAGCAGGGACACGGUCUCUGCUAAGCACAGCUAUCUCAUUUCUUGAAGAGGUGGGUGAGGGUGAGCAGGCGUGCUCGGCACUGUCUCUGGGAGGAUGUGGGCCGAGCUGGGGUGGGUGUAGGCCGAUCCUCGGCUGUGCGGGCCGUGUCCCGCCACGUUCCCCUUGUAGUAUUCAUGAAAACAGGCUUUUGAAGACGAAAGGGUUGUUUUAUGAUUUCCUGCUGCUGAGAAUAAUAAAUGCCUGGUUACAAACAUGUAACAACAGUACUCUUAGGUGCCAUGGAUUGAUGUCAGGGUGGCCAGCUCUGGACUAAACCACCCACCUCCAAUUUGUACAACAGUAUUGAUACAUAGGGCUACACUCAUUACUGUUCAUGUCUUCUACGUUAAAAGUUGUGUUUAAUUUCUAAAGUUUAAAAAAAGCAAAAAAAUUGGUGCUAAACUUUCACCCCGAGCUCAGUGAGACUGGUCAUGCAAGCAUUUUCAGUGCCAUGCUCUUGCAAGCCUAUUUUUUUCUUGUAGAAAUGUUGCCCUAUUUGUCUUCCCCAGUGUAUAGUAUGUUUUUUUAUUUUAUUGAGGGUAGGGUAGGAUACCUGCCAUUUAAGAAAAUGAAUAGAAAAUUUUAAAACCCAGGAAAUGGGGAAAAAAAAUCAGUGCACAAGAAUCGGGCUAGUUAAGCCCAGCACCACACUGAAGUGGGCUCAGUGGUUUUUGGAGUGAAGAAGCCUUACUCCCUGCACAUUCCCUCAUGCUCCCAUCCAAGUCCAGCAGUGGAGAUGCUCGAGUCCCUCUCGCCUUGGCAGGGGACUCAGGAGUCGACCAAGGAAUAGUCUUUGGCCCUGGGAAGAGUGGCACAGUCAGUGUCUGUCCUGAAUGGAGCCUAGUCAGGAGGCGGUCUGGAAGCGUACAGUCACGGUCACCUCCUGAAGACGUGUGGCAGAUGGCUCUCAGGAAAAAUACUAAGUCUGGAUCAUCCAUGUGGCAGCUUUGCAUAGGGAGAUGAUGGCUCCGAACUGGAAGUGCACUGCCUUCCACGCACCCGACCAGAGCAGUGAGGCGGAUGGCCGGUACCCGUGGGGUGGGCGGUAGGUUUACAGGGAAGGGAGUGUUUUCUGCUCGGUGUUUCCUUUGUCCUUGGGCUGCUCAGGCUGGACAGUAGGUAACCACUGUUUUCACGGACACAGCUGAACUUGGCUGGUUUGGUUCGGAGUUCGUUUGAUCCCUAGCUGUGAGUGCCUUUUGGUCUGGAAAGUUGGCUUGUCUCAUAAUACCCACAGCUGGGACGUUGUCUCCAUAGUUGCGAAUUGUCCUCGUUUUACAUUAACUGAAAGAGAAUGUCUUUGAUCACUAGAGUUUGUCGGUGUUGGGUUGUUUCCACCGUGAGGUUCUUAAACUUUAUCGCUUCAUAAUAUUAAAGCAACUCAUGUUAGAGACUCUUUCAAUACGAAAGGUUUGUAGUUGAGACAUUACAUGUAUUUUAUUGUUUAUAAUAAAAAUCAUCUAUACAGAAGUCCUGGGUGUUAAUAUUUGCACAAGAUCUGUUUUCCAUGAUAUGUUAACACCUACAAUUUCACUAAUUGUUGAUGUUAUUUUCUAUUGAGAUUCUGGAGCCUAGGGAGCUAUAUGUUCUUUCUGUUUACUUUUGUUCUUAUUUCCCUGAAGCAAGAGACUUUGUAUGGCCUUCAGUGCAAAGACUUCAGACCAAUUCUUUGUAUUACACUUGGUUGCCUCUUGGCUAUAUAACUUCUGAGUGCAAAUCAUUGAACUCUUUAACAAAAUAUUGUAGAGAAUAAAUCAUAAUGGGUAAAACUU